rnacentral:rRNA from 1 species
GUGGGGAAUAUUGGACAAUGGGCGAAAGCCUGAUCCAGCAAUGCCGCGUGAGUGAUGAAGGCCUUAGGGUUGUAAAGCUCUUUUACCAGGGAUGAUAAUGACAGUACCUGGAGAAUAAGCUCCGGCUAACUCCGUGCCAGCAGCCGCGGUAAUACGGAGGGAGCUAGCGUUGUUCGGAAUUACUGGGCGUAAAGCGCGCGUAGGCGGCGAUUUAAGUCAGAGGUGAAAGCCCGGGGCUCAACCCCGGAAUAGCCUUUGAGACUGGAUUGCUAGAAUCCUGGAGAGGUGAGUGGAAUUCCGAGUGUAGAGGUGAAAUUCGUAGAUAUUCGGAAGAACACCAGUGGCGAAGGCGGCUCACUGGACAGGUAUUGACGCUGAGGUGCGAAAGCGUGGGGAGCAAACAGGAUUAGAAACCCGUGUAGUCC